rnacentral:lncRNA from 9 species
UGAAGAUGUGUGAUAGAAAAACCCAAAUCUGGAAUAAAUCUGACACUGACUGUUUGGAGGUUCUGUGGUUUUGACAAUGGAGAAAUCUCCAUAUCCACCUCCUUCCCCCACCACCUGAGCAUCUUCCUCCCCUGCUGGACACGUGUGCCAAGGAACCUACCUAAAUCCAGAGAUCUCCACACCCUUCUCCUUCCCCCACCACCUGAGCGUCUUCCUCCCGUGCUGGACACAUGUGCCAAGGAACCUACCUAAAUCCAGAGACCUCCACAUCCUCCUCCUUCCUGAUCCACCUGAGUAUCUUCCUCCUCUGCUGGACACCUGUGCCAAGAAACAUACCUAAAUCCAGAGAUCUUCAUAUUGUCUUCCUCCCGUGCUGGACACGUGUGCCAAGGAACCUACCUAAAUCCAGAUCUAUGUCCUCCUCCUCCCUGCUCCACCUCAGCCUCUUCCUCCCUGCUGGAUACCUGUGCCAAGGAACCUACUAAAUCCAGGUAAAAGUGAAUAACGCCUGGUGUGGGGGGGGGGGCGCCUGGAUUUCAGGGCAGGUGUCAAUCCCGAAGUGUGCUGAUUGAUUGGCAGCUGGCUAUCAUGACCUACAAGCUGUACGUCUGAUGAGGGAAUUGGAUGGUGUCCUGAGGGGUGAGUGUCCUGGUUGAUGUGGAGGGAGUCACACCACAGCCAUGGUGCAUGUUAGUGCUCUGAGGUAGAGGCGUGAAGGAGUCACACUGGCACGUGCCCCAGGGCAGUGCAGACCAGGGUUCUGCUGUGGAAGGCAGAGGAAGGGCUGAGAGUUGUUGUUAUGGCAGUGUCCCCCAGAUGGCGCCAAAGUGUCAACAGAGCUGCUCUGCAUCUCCAGGCUCAGAACAGGAAUGGAGAUGGAUCCAGCAAACCUCAAGGAGGUGCCCAGAGCCUUGUGUUUUGUGCACGUGGAGCCUCUGACCCUUUGGCCCAAUUUGCCUCCACUUACUCUGGGGACAUGCAUCUGCCAUCACAUGUCCAACUAGAUUCCUGUUGGGUUGGGAGACACAAUGAUGGGAGAUUUUGACAGGCUUUCUGUGGUCGGAGUAUCCUUUGCUUGUUUGGAGACAGAGCUCUGGCCCCAGAAACACUGGUCUUGACUGUGAAUGGUACAGUUUUCCAGAAAUAUCUUGGAAGGGAAUGUUGCUUCUGGAACACAGAGCUUCAGGUCCUGAAUGCAGUGUUUCAGUGUAAUCAUUUGAGGGGGCCAGCCUGAGCCUAUCCCUAUGCUCCUUCUCCCCAGUGAUCUCUACAUCAUCCUCCUCCCUGCUGGACACCUGUGCCAAGGAACCUACCUAAAUCCAGAGUCCUCUGCAUCCUCCUCCUCCUUUCUCACCCCGAGCAUCUUCCUUGUCUGCUGGACACCUGUGCCAAGGAACCUACCUCAAUCCAGAAAAAUUAAGAGCCUUACGGAGGGGGCAAGCGUUUUCCCUCUCAAAGCCUCCCGCAGCCCUCACUGCUCCCUGUCAGCACUGCUUGAAGUCAAUCACCAGGAAAAACUCCAACUCAGGUUCUGGUGUGAUGUCUUGAAGGCCCUGACCUAGAAGCCUCAGCCUGGGCCUCAGAGGGGCUGGCACUGGUAGUCAGAAGGUUUGCAUCUGGACAAGGAACAGGAUAGACUCACUACUCAUCUAUUAGUAAACAAAUAUAGUGCAAGCUUAGUUUUUUUAUUGUGUAGAUUUAGGAUUAGUUUCUGAUAUAUGUUCUACAAUUGGUAUGUAAGAUUUUUGUAUUAAAUAUUUUUCUAUCAAUUUGCUUUUUAAAUAUUUUUCUAUAAAAUAAAUUGCAUAUGUAGAAAAGCCCCCUAAACUUAGGUAAAACUUAAUGAUUUGGUAUCAGGCAGUUACCUUAGUGUCUACCCCCAAGAUCACCCACUCUCCUAUCAUCCUCAUUUGGAGUUGACUUAAGAAGGGGACUAUGAAUUUAGUACUUUCCAUCUGCCCUAUGUCAGUGUGUUUUUAAGGAUCCUGUUGUCUGAAAUGUGUUAAUUCUUUUGAUCGUGGGAACAUCAUCCUCGAUCCUUCAUGAUGACAUGAAUGUCAGGGUCUUUGACACCCAGUCACUCACCUGAUAUAAAAUCCAUGACUCACCAUUUCUCUCCUCAGUGUCUCUAACAUAUUGCUCUUAAUUUCUUCUGGGACAGCCUAUUCACUCUAUACGUGAUCAAAAUAUCAUUUUUCUUCCCUUAUGUGUUUCUUGCUCUUUUAUUCUGGAUGCCCAAAGGAUUUUUUUCUUUAAAGAUCAGUAGUUUUAUAAUUUGCUCUUAGUCAUUGCAAGUCAAUGUUCAUUUUCUCUUUAAUACAAAACUUCAAAGGUUUUUCAUAUUGAAAAAAAUUUGCGCAAUAUUAUUCUCUGUGUAUCCUUGCUGUGGUUUUUCUGUUUCAGGUCCCUCAGUCCUUCAAAUAUCAGAUUUCUUAUGAUUAUACUUCACUUUUGACACAAUCAUUAACAAUUAAUAAUUUCUUUCUUUUUUGUCUUUUUAGUGUCACACAUGCAGCAUAUAGAAGUUCCCAGGCUAGGGGUCAAAGUGGAACUGUAGUUGCCGGCCUGUGCCACAGACACAGUAACACAGCAUCCAAGUUGUGUUUGUGACCUACACCAGAGCUCACAGCAAUGCCGGAUCCUUAACCCAGUGAGCAAGGCCAGGGAUUGAGCCUGCAUCAUCACAGAUACUAGUCAGGUUCAUUACCCCUGAGCCACGAUGGGAACUCCUAGAAUUUGUUGAUUAAUUUCAUUCCCAGGAGUGUUUUAAAACAGUGUUUAAACUUACCUCCUUUGGAGUUCCUGUCGUGGAGCAGCGUAAUCAAAUCUGACUAGGAACCAUGAGGUUGCGGGUUUGAUCUAUGGCCUUGCUCAGCAGGUUAAGGAUCUGACAUUGCCGUGAGUUGUAGUAUAGGUCACAGACGAGGUUCAGAUCUCAUGUUGCUGUGGCUAUUCCCAUGUUACUGUGGCUGUGAGGCAGGCCAGCAAAAAAGGAAUAUUCACUAGUAGCUAUUGCAUGAGGUGAAAUGUAAAUUGGAUGCAUUAUUAGGCAAUAUUGUAUGUAAUAUAUCUUAAGAAUGGAGUAUCCUCAAAAAAAAAAAAAAAAAAAAAAGAUCCAGCAACUUCAUUCCUUGUAAUUCUGAAGUAACAUAACAGGAAUCUGAAGAGAUAUGUACAGUUCUGUUGACUGUAGUGUUAUUUAGAAUGGCCAAGAUAUGGGAGCAACCUGUGUCCACUGAUAGAUGAAUCAAGAAGAUGUGGUGUGCACAUGCAAUGGAGAGGUCUUCAGCCAUAAAAGGGAAUGGAUGACACCUGCCAUUUCCUACAACAUGGAUAGACCUACAAGUUUUAAGCUCAUUAAAAUGUGUCAGACAGACAAAUACUGUUAUGUCACUUAUAUGUGGAAUUUUUCUUUAUAGGGCCGCACCAGUGGCAUAUGGAGCUUCCCAGGCUAGAGGUCCAAUUGGAGCUAUAGCUGCUGGCCUGCAUCAUAGCCACAGUAACACGGGAACAGCCACAGCAACAUGAGAUCUGAACCUCGUCUGUGACCUACACUGGAGAACAAAUUUUAGAACAAGUUUUCUUUUUUUAAUAAGAUCAUAAUGAUAUGCUGUUGAAUAAGGAUGAAUUCACGUCAUUUUAAUUUUUUUUUUUUUGUCUUUUUGCUAUUUCUUUGGGCCACUCCCACGGCAUGUGGAGGUUCCCAGGCUAGGGGUCCAAUUGGAGCUGUAGCCACCGGCCUACGCCAGAGUCACAGCAACGCAGGAUCCGAGCCGCGUCUGUGACAUACACCACAGCUCACGGCAACGCCAGAUCGUUAACCCACUGAGCAAGGGCAGGGACCGAACCCACAACCUCAUGGUUCCUAGUCGGAUUCGUUAACCACUGCGCCAUGACAGGAACUCCCAUUUAAAAAUUUUUUGAUGUUUCUUUACAUUCCUAUACCUAGAGUUAUUAUUUUUAUAAAUGUGAAUUAUGUAGAGUGAUACUGAAU